ACCUUCAUAGCGCAGGGGUAGCGCGCCAGGUUUAUAACCUGAAGAUCCUCCGUUCGAACCGGAGUGAAGCUG